rnacentral:RNase_P_RNA from 1 species
GAGGAAAGUGCGGGCUCCACGGAAGCAUGGUGCCGGGUAACGCCCGGCGGGGGCGACCCCAGGGACAGCGCCACAGAGAACAGACCGCCCGCCUACGCGCUAACGCGCUUUAAGCGGGUAAGGGUGAAACGGUGCGGUAAGAGCGCACCGCGUUCUCGGCAACGAGAGCGGCACGGCAAGCCCCGCCAGGAGCAAGACCAAAUAGGGACGGCGCUAUGGGCUGCUUCAGGCUCGCCGUCCGGGUAGGUCGCGCGAGGCGUCCGGCGACGGACGUCCCAGAGGAAUGGUCAUCCAGUCCGCAAGGAUGGACAGAAUCCGGCUUA